rnacentral:lncRNA from 1 species
AGCUGUCGCUGAAAGCACACAAACCAUCAAUCCUAGUUAAACAGUCAAACGAUGAAGAACAUUUUCACAAACUCCAUUCCGGUGGCAAUCCUUGCAACGAUCGCUGCUGUUUCCUGCUACCCACAAGGCGAUUCUGUCACUCCUGAUAGUUACGAUUAUUUGUGCGAAAACGUCGUCAUCGGUAUACGAGAACACCCGGAAAGCUGUGAUCACUACAUUGCGUGUAAUAAAUUCGUAGCGCAAGACGUCGCCUGCCCAGAAGGACAGGUUUUCUCAAAGGAUUUAAUUCUGUGCGUGGACGGUGACUCCAGUGGAUGUCGACAGCAAGACCCUCCAGAACAAGCUGUUACGUGCGCCGAAGGAUACGUAGGACGGUUGCCCUGUCCAGGAGAUUGCGGAAAGUACUAUAACUGUGCUGACGGAAGUGCUAAGUUGGAAUCCUGCUUGGAAGGCUACAUUUUCUACGAACCGAUGAAAUUUUGCUUGCCAGGAUACGAAUCCCAAGGAGAAUGUAGAUUGUAUAGCUUGGGGAACUGAGAAACCCUAAUCGAUAAAGUAGAUGUUAGAUAAUAAGAAUCUGUUAUACUAGAAUAAGAUAAUAAUUCGAAAUAUAAGUAUAUGCGCCUAAAUG